rnacentral:rRNA from 1 species
GCCUGCGGCCACACCGCCUUGAAUAAGCCUGAUCUCGUCUAAUCUCAGCAGCAAAGCAACGUUGGGCUUGGUUAGUACUGGGAUGGGAUACCACCUGGGAAUAUCAAGUGCUGUAGGCAUU